rnacentral:rRNA from 1 species
UACGUAGGGUGCGAGCGUUAUUCGGAAUUACUGGGCGUAAAGCGUGCGCAGGCGGUGAGCUGUGUCCGAUGUGAAAGCCCCGGGCUUAACCUGGGAAUGGCAUUGGAAACUGGCUCGCUGGAGUGUGGCAGAGGGGGGUGGAAUUCCGCGUGUAGCAGUGAAAUGCGUAGAGAUGCGGAGGAACACCGAUGGCGAAGGCAGCCCCCUGGGCUAACACUGACGCUCAGGCACGAAAGCGUGGGGAGCAAACAGG